rnacentral:rRNA from 1 species
UACAGAGGAUGCAAGCGUUAUCCGGAAUGAUUGGGCGUAAAGAGCUCGUAGGCGGCCUGUUGCGUCCGCUGUGAAAGCCCGGGGCUUAACCCCGGGUCGGCAGUGGAUACGGGCAGGCUAGAGGUAGGUAGGGGAGAAUGGAAUUCCCGGUGUAGCGGUGAAAUGCGCAGAUAUCGGGAGGAACACCGGUGGCGAAGGCGGUUCUCUGGGCCUUACCUGACGCUGAGGAGCGAAAGCGUGGGGAGCGAACAGG